rnacentral:rRNA from 1 species
UUGGUAUGCACUGGCUUUACUGAUUCCUCCUUCUUGACGAACCGUGAUGUCAUUAAUUUGGUGUUGCGGGAAAUCAGGACUGUUACUUUGAAAAAAUUAGAGUGUUUAAAGCAGGCUAACGCUUGAAUACAUUAGCAUGGAAUAAUGAAAUAGGACGUUAAUCCUAUUUUGUUGGUUUCUAGGAUCGACGUAAUGAUUAAUAGGGAUAGUUGGGGGCAUUAGUAUUCAAUUGUCAGAGGUGAAAUUCUUGGAUUUAUUGAAGACUGACUACUGCGAAAGCAUUUGCCAAGGAUGUUUUCAUUAAUCAAGAACGAAAGUUAGGGGAUCGAAGACGAUCAGAUACCGUCGUAGUCUUAACCGUAAACUAUGCCGACUAGGGAUCGGAUGAUGUUAAUUUUUUAAUGACUCAUUCGGCCCCCUUACG